rnacentral:rRNA from 1 species
GAUGAACGCUAGCGGCAGGCCUAAUACAUGCAAGUCAAACGGGUAGCAAUACCAGUGGCGAACGGGUGCGUAACGCGUAUGCAACCUACCUACUACAGGGGAACAACGUCUGGAAACGGACGCUAAUGCCCCAUAAAGCAAGGGCACCGCAUGGUGAUAAUGCUAAAGAUUUAUCGGUAGUAGAUGGGCAUGCGUCUGAUUAGCUAGUUGGGGGGGUAACGGCCCACCAAGGCGACGAUCAGUAGGGGCUCUGAGAGGAGAAUCCCCCACACUGGCACUGAGAUACGGGCCAGACUCCUACGGGAGGCAGCAGUAGGGAAUAUUGGGCAAUGGAGGCAACUCUGACCCAGCCAUGCCGCGUGCAGGAAGAAGGUCCUCUGGAUUGUAAACUGCUUUUGUC